rnacentral:rRNA from 1 species
UGUCGGGCCUUAAUUGGCUUGGUAACGCAGCUAACGCGUGAAGUAGACCGCCUGGGGAGUACGGUCGCAAGAUUAAAACUCAAAGGAAUUGACGGGGACCCGCACAAGCGGUGGAUGAUGUGGAUUAAUUCGAUGCAACGCGAAAAACCUUACCUACCCUUGACAUGUCAGGAACCCCGCUGAGAGGUGGGGGUGCUCGAAAGAGAACCUGAGCACAGGUGCUGCAUGGCUGUCGUCAGCUCGUGUCGUGAGAUGUUGGGUUAAGUCCCGCAACGAGCGCAACCCUUAUCAUUAGUUGCUACGCAAGGGCACUCUAAUGAGACUGCCGGUGACAAACCGGAGGAAGGUGGGGAUGACGUCAAGUCCUCAUGGCCCUUAUGGGUAGGGCUUCACACGUCAUACAAUGGUCGGUACAGAGGGCUGCCAACCCGCGAGGGGGAGCUAAUCCCAUAAAACCGAUCGUAGUCCGGAUUGUAGUCUGCAACUCGACUACAUGAAGUCGGAAUCGCUAGUAAUCGCGGAUCAGCAUGUCGCGGUGAAUACGUUCCCGGGUCUUGUACACACCGCCCGUCACACCAUGGGAGUGGGUUUUACCAGAAGUAGUUAGCCUAACCGC